rnacentral:lncRNA from 1 species
CGGGAGGGGAGAGUGGGCGCCAUCUUGUUCGGGCUCACUGAGGGUUCUGCCUGUUCAGUGGAGGCUGCUGCGAAGAGUGCCCCAGCCCCUGGCCUGUGUGUCCGAGUCGGAGCAGUGUUAAGUUGCUUUUACAGAAUUAACAGGUCUCCAAGAAAUAAAAAGAACAGGUCAUUAU